rnacentral:rRNA from 1 species
UACGUAGGGUGCGAGCGUUGUCCGGAAUUAUUGGGCAUAAAGAGCUCGUAGGCGGUCUGUCGCGUCGAUCGUGAAAACUUGGGGCUUAACCCUGAGCUUGCGGUCGAUACGGGCAUGACUGGAGUUCGGCAGGGGAGACUGGAAUUCCUGGUGUAGUGGUGGAAUGCGUAGAUAUCGGGAGGAACACCAGUGGCGAAGGCGGUUGCCUGGGGCUUUGGCUGACGCUGAUGCGCGAAAGCGUGGGGAGCGAGUCCGG